GUAGUCAUAUGCUUGUCUCAAAGAUUAAGCCACUGCAUGUCUAAGUACAUGCCGAAAUAAGGCGAAACCGCGAAUGGCUCAUUAAAUCAGUUAUGGUUCCUUAGAUCGUUUCUUUCUACUUGGACAACUGUGGCAAUUCUAGAGCUAAUACAUGCAUUGAGCCUGAAGGCCUUUGGCUGACGGGCGCUUUUAUUAGACCAAGACCCAUCGGGUUCUGCCCGUACUCUGUGGUGACUCUGGAUAACUUUGUGCUGAUCGCAUGGCCAUGAGCCGGCGACGUUUCUUUCAAGUGUCUGCCUUAUCAACUUUCGAUGGUAGGUUACUUGCCUACCAUGGUUGUUACGGGUAACGGAGAAUCAGGGUUCGAUUCCGGAGAGGGAGCCUGAGAAACGGCUACCACAUCCAAGGAAGGCAGCAGGCGCGCAAAUUACCCACUCCCGGCACGGGGAGGUAGUGACGAAAAAUAACAAUACGGGACUCUUUUGAGGCCCCGUAAUUGAAAUGAGUACACUCUAAAUCCUUUAACGAGGAUCAAUUGGAGGGCAAGUCUGGUGCCAGCAGCCGCGGUAAUUCCAGCUCCAAUAGCGUAUACUAAAGCUGCUGCGGUUAAAAAGCUCGUAGUUGGAUCUCAGUUCCAGACGAGUAGUGCAUCUACCCGAUGCGACGGCUCGUACUGAACAUCAUGCCGGUCCUCUCUUGGUGCCCUUCAUUGGUGCGUCUCGAGGUGGCCUGCGCUUUUACUUUGAAAAAAUUAGAGUGCUCAACGCAGGCGAGUCGCCUGAAUAAACUUGCAUGGAAUAAUAGAACAAGACCCUGUUUCUGUUCUGUUGGUUUUUGGAAUACGGGGUAAUGAUUAAGAGGGACAGACGGGGGCAUUCGUAUUGCGGCGCUAGAGGUGAAAUUCUUGGACCGUCGCAAGACGAACUACUGCGAAAGCAUUUGCCAAGAAUGUUUUCUUUGAUCAAGAACGAAAGUCAGAGGUUCGAAGGCGAUCAGAUACCGCCCUAGUUCUGACCAUAAACGAUGCCAACCAGCGAUCCGCCUGAGUUACUCAAAUGACUCGGCGGGCAGCUUCCGGGAAACCAAAGUAUUUGGGUUCCGGGGAAGUAUGGUUGCAAAGCUGAAACUUAAAGGAAUUGACGGAAGGGCACCACCAGGAGUGGAGCUGCGGCUUAAUUUGACUCAACACGGGAAAACUUACCCGGCCCGGACACUGGGAGGAUUGACAGAUUGAGAGCUCUUUCUUGAUUCGGUGGAUGGUGGUGCAUGGCCGUUCUUAGUUGGUGGAGCGAUUUGUCUGGUUAAUUCCGAUAACGAACGAGACUCUAGCCUAUUAAAUAGGUGCGGGGUUCCCAGCACCUUACAACCUUCUUAGAGGGACAAGCGGCUCCUAGCCGCACGAAACAGAGCAAUAACAGGUCUGUGAUGCCCUUAGAUGUCCGGGGCCGCACGCGCGCUACACUGAAGGAAGCAGCGUGUCUUUAUCCCUGUCUGAAAAGACUGGGUAACCCGUGGAACUUCUUUCGUGAUUGGGAUAGGGGCUUGCAAUUGUUCCCCUUGAACGAGGAAUUCCCAGUAAGCGCGAGUCAUAAGCUCGCGUUGAUUACGUCCCUGCCCUUUGUACACACCGCCCGUCGCUACUACCGAUUGAAUGAUUUAGUGAGGUCUUCGGACCGAUGUCCGGCGCGGCCUUUCGGUUGCGCCGGUCUGUUGGAAAGAUGACCAAACUUGAUCAUUUAGAGGAAGUAAAAGUCGUAACAAGGUUUCCGUAGGUGAACCUGCGGA
rnacentral:rRNA from 1 species